UACGUAGGGGGCAAGCGUUGUCCGGAUUUAUUGGGCGUAAAGAGCGUGUAGGCGGCUAAAUAGGUCCGUUGUGAAAACUCGAGGCUCAACCUCGAGAUGCCGAUGGAAACCAUUUGGCUAGAGUCCGGAAGAGGAGAGUGGAAUUCCUGGUGUAGCGGUGAAAUGCGCAGAUAUCAGGAGGAACACCCGUGGCGAAAGCGGCUCUCUGGGACGGUACUGACGCUGAGACGCGAAAGCGUGGGGAGCAAACAGG
rnacentral:rRNA from 1 species